GGAUAUUGUCUUUCUUGAAAGAAGAAGAAAGAUUGCUGUCCCAUCCCAUUUUAUUUUCAAAGUUGUAGUUAGAUAGGGGGAGCCUUCCCUUAAUUAGGAGAGUUUUACUCACACGCUGUGGUUGAAACCACAAUUUUGUAUAUUUCCCCAAGUGUACAAAAUUUUCAACCAACAGAAAUACAUAGGCAUGUACACACGAGUAUUAAAUAAAGGAGAGCAUGUUGAGAAUGGAACCAGUCAUUGUCUGAAUGACUGGUAUGGUUGGAAUAGCCUUGAUGUUGCCUUUGUCUUGCUGCUUCGUCCCUGUCUGCAUCUGCUUUCCUUCUGGUAUCUGCAAAAGAGUUAAAAUAUGCAAUGUGUUAGAACAUUUUGUUCUAAGCAAUGGCUGAUUACAUUCCUAACUUGUAUACUAACGCAUGCAUGUAUAUAUAGUCCCUACAUACAUCAGGUGCAUAUAGUCAACAUCACGGAAGAUCUCAGAAAAAGAAAAUAUCAGAUUAGAGGAAAAUCAAAUGCAUUUUAUUUCUAACUUGUUUGCUUCUUGUGCAGCUACAGGAUAGGUUCAUUAUUGGUUAAGUCAUCAAUUCUGUAGGUGUAAUCAUGUUCAUUUUCAGCAUGUGGGUUUAAAUGUGGCUCCCACAAGGGUUGAGCCCAACAUGCUGUUAAGGAUAGGUGCAGGUACCUUAGCAGAGUACGGUGAUUAUUAUUAUAAAAGGAUUGCGUAGCAAAAGACAAUGCAUUCAUAUGACAGUUCAUAUGAGAUGAAGAUCAGGUCAUACAACUGAAAAGGUAAUACAAUAGUUUGAGAACAAAGAUAGGCAUCAAGGUUAGAGAAUGCGUUCAAGAGUCUUAUACACCAAUGAUAAAUCCUCGGGACAGCACUUUACCAAUAGAGAACAACAUGAUGCAGCCAUAGGCAAUUACAGUAGGGAGUAAUGAUUGGCAAAAUCGAACAAGUACAAAGAGCCAUGGUGAUUAGAGUUUGUACUGGUUAUAUUUCCAUUAAGUGUAAUAGACAUGUCAGUUGCAGCAGAAAGCAAUGCAGUCAAAAGGGCAGUAUCUUCAAGACAUAGGGUUUUCAAGACAAGGUAUGAAGAAAUGAGACCUUCAGUUUGCAACUCUACGGUGUUCAACAUAGUGAGAAGUUCAUAAACAGAAAUGAACGAUAGUACAUUAAGCAUUAUUACAGUCCUCUUUCACAAUAUCAUGAGGAAGCCAAAGUAUGAAGUUACAGUGCAUAUUCCUUUCUACGAGUCAAAAGAGUUAUGACAGCAACUCAUAAGAAUAUCCAUAACCCAAAGCAAUGACAGUCCCUCAACAGGUUCAUGACCAGCUCACUGAAAGACCAAUACAAGAGGUCUAUAAUAAAUUGGAUGUUGGAGACACCAAAUGAUAUACUCAAGGUAGAGAGUAAGCAUGCACAACCAAGUGGUGGUAUUGGUAUUUUUCAAGGGUCACUAUUAAGGAUAUCUUCAUGCAGCUAUAGGACAGUCUCAAAAUGUGAGGAAAAGGAUACAUGUGAUGAACAAUAUAAGCCAUAGAUACAAAGAUGACGGUCACCACAAAACUAAGAGUCUGAAAGGCCAAAUGCAUAGUGAACAGAUUAUUGAUAGCAGCCAAUACUAUGAAAGAAGAAAGAAAGCAAUAUAUAUAGACAGUCAUAUUGAAGAGAUGAUGCAAGUUUUCGAUAGAAGCCCUAGGUGAAAUCUUUUGAAUUACAUCUUCUCUUUCAUUUCAAAUCAAGCUAGAGUUCAUUUUGCACAUAAAAGCAUCAGAGAUAGUUCAGUUAUCACUCGGUCACAGUGAUGCAAGAGCAAAUUCAAAACAGUGGGCAACAAAUAGGAAGGAAAAUGGUGUAUUUUCAGAAAAUCAUUAUGAAAACACUUUUUCUCACGCCAAUACAUGAUUCAAUCACAGUAACCAGUUCCCAGUUUUGCAGUAGUCAAAUGGAAUAACAGCAGUGAUAAUAUUAGCAGCCCUGUUUGUGAUUAUGACUGUGCACUCAAAGGGGCACUGCAGGGUUUGAUUAGAGCUAGAAGCCUUCAAAAAAACAGUCUACACACUCCAUGUCACUAUAAUCAAUGCAUCAUCCAUAAAAAGAGCAGAAUAAAGAGCAGCAAGCGCCAAUAUUUUUCAUUUUUUGAAUUUUUUUCUAAGGAAAAAGAUGCUCAAAAAUCAACUUUCAGUUUUUAAGGAGAUAAAUAUGCAUAAAAAUCAGUCAAAUGCAUUCCCAGGAAGUAAGAGCAGUUCGUGCAAAUUCAAAACAGAGAGCAAAAGGAAGGAUUUGCAGUAUUUUUUCUCUUUUUCCAGUCAAUAAUUGUUCAAAAGCCAGAUUGCUAUGCGUGGAGCAGGAAAGUCUCACCUGUGGCGGCAGGGACUUGAGUUUUAAUAAUUUUACAGGAGAAUUUCCUACUUCACUUCAAAAUUUGAGCUCUUUAAAUAUCUUGUUUCUUGGAAAUAAUAAUCUAUCUGGGAAGCUUCCUUCUCAAAUGAGUUCAAAUCUUA